rnacentral:rRNA from 1 species
CGGACGGGUGAGUAAUGUCUGGGAAACUGCCUGAUGGAGGGGGAUAACUACUGGAAACGGUAGCUAAUACCGCAUAACGUCGCAAGACCAAAGAGGGGGACCUUCGGGCCUCUUGCCAUCGGAUGUGCCCAGAUGGGAUUAGCUAGUAGGUGGGGUAACGGCUUACCUAGGCGACGAUCCCUAGCUGGUCUGAGAGGAUGAUCAGCCACACUGGAACUGAGACACGGUCCAG